GAGUUUGAUCCUGGCUCAGAUUGAACGCUGGCGGCAUGCCUUACACAUGCAAGUCGAACGGCAGCAUGAUCUAGCUUGCUAGAUUGAUGGCGAGUGGCGAACGGGUGAGUAAUACAUCGGAACGUGCCCUGUAGUGGGGGAUAACUAGUCGAAAGAUUAGCUAAUACCGCAUACGACCUGAGGGUGAAAGUGGGGGACCGCAAGGCCUCAUGCUAUAGGAGCGGCCGAUGUCUGAUUAGCUAGUUGGUGGGGUAAAGGCCCACCAAGGCGACGAUCAGUAGCUGGUCUGAGAGGACGAUCAGCCACACUGGGACUGAGACACGGCCCAGACUCCUACGGGAGGCAGCAGUGGGGAAUUUUGGACAAUGGGCGAAAGCCUGAUCCAGCAAUGCCGCGUGUGUGAAGAAGGCCUCGGUGUAA
rnacentral:rRNA from 1 species